GACGUAGGGCGCGAGCGUUGUCCGGAAUUAUUGGGCGUAAAGAGCUCGUAGGCGGUUCGUCGCGUCGGCUGUGAAAACCCGGAGCUCAACUCCGGGCCUGCAGUCGAUACGGGCGGACUAGAGUUCGGCAGGGGAGACUGGAAUUCCUGGUGUAGCGGCGAAAUGCGCAGAUAUCAGGAGGAACACCGGUGGCGAAGGCGGGUCUCUGGGCCGGUACCGACGCUGAGGAGCGAAAGCGUGGGGAGCGAACAGG
rnacentral:rRNA from 1 species